UGGGGAAUAUUGCACAAUGGAGGGAACUCUGAUGCAGCGACGCCGCGUGAACGAAGAAGGCUUUCGAGUCGUAAAGUUCUUUUAUAUGGGAAGAUAAUGACGGUACCAUAAGAAAAAGCCCCGGCUAACUACGUGCCAGCAGCCGUGGUAAUACGUAGGGGGCUAGCGUUGUCCGGAAUCACUGGGCGUAAAGGGUUCGCAGGCGGAAAUGCAAGUCAGGUGUAAAAGGCAGUAGCUUAACUACUGUAAGCAUUUGAAACUGCAUAUCUUGAGAAGAGUAGAGGUAAGUGGAAUUUUUAGUGUAGCGGUGAAAUGCGUAGAUAUUAAAAAGAAUACCGGUGGCGAAGGCGACUUACUGGGCUCAUUCUGACGCUGAGGAACGAAAGCGUGGGUAGCAAACAGG
rnacentral:rRNA from 2 species